GAUGAACGCUGGCGGCGUGCCUAAUACAUGCAAGUCGAGCGAACAGACGAGGAGCUUGCUCCUCUGACGUUAGCGGCGGACGGGUGAGUAACACGUGGAUAACCUACCUAUAAGACUGGGAUAACUUCGGGAAACCGGAGCUAAUACCGGAUAAUCUAUUGAACCGCAUGGUUCAAUAGUGAAAGACGGUUUUGCUGUCACUUAUAGAUGGAUCCGCGCCGCAUUAGCUAGUUGGUAAGGUAACGGCUUACCAAGGCGACGAUGCGUAGCCGACCUGAGAGGGUGAUCGGCCACACUGGAACUGAGACACGGUCAAGACUCCUACGGGAGGCAGCAGUAGGGAAUCUUCCGCAAUGGGCGAAAGCCUGACGGAGCAACGCCGCGUGAGUGAUGAAGGUCUUCGGAUCGUAAAAAUCUGUUAUUAGGGAAGAACAAAUGUGGAAGUAACUAUGCACGUCUUGACGGUACCUAAUCAGAAAGCCACGGCUAACUACGUG
rnacentral:rRNA from 1 species